CCUACGGGCGGCAGCAGUGAGGAAUAUUGGUCAAUGGACGCAAGUCUGAACCAGCCAUGCCGCGUGCAGGAAGACGGCUCUAUGAGUUGUAAACUGCUUUUGUACGAGGGUAAACGCAGAUACGCGUAUCUGUCUGAAAGUAUCGUACGAAUAAGGAUCGGCUAACGCCGUGCCAGCAGCCGCGGUAAGACGGAGGAUUCAAGCGUUAUCCGGAUUUAGUGGGUUUAAAGGGUGCGUAGGCGGUCGGAUAAGUUAGAGGUGAAAUCCCGAGGCUCAACUUCGGAAUUGCCUCUGAUACUGUUCGGCUAGAGAGUAGUAGCGGUAGGCGGAAUGUAUGGUGUAGCGGUGAAAUGCUUAGAGAUCAGACAGAACACCGAUUGCGAAGGCAGCUUACCAAGCUACUUCUGACGUUGAGGCACGAAAGCGUGGGGAGCAAACAGGAUUAGAUACCCGAGUAGUC
rnacentral:rRNA from 1 species